AAGACUAUACUUUCAGGGAUCAUUUCUAUAGUUUGUUACUAGAGAAAUCUCACUGAUCGUGUAGAGUACCGGAAACCACGAGGAGGAGGCACAGUGUUCUCUCCUGAGCGUGAAGCUGGCAGCUGGUAUUGCUUUUGUGCAACUGCCUCUUGCCAUUGAUGAUCGUUCUUCUCUCCUUAAGGGAGAGUGAGAGGGGGAGAACGCAGUCUGAGUGGCU
ensembl:snoRNA